UUUAAUGUACAACACUAAUGCACCGGAUCCCAUCAGAACUCCACAGUUAAGCAUGUUUGGACGAGAGUAGUACUAGGAUGGGUGACCUCCCGGGAAGUCCUCGUGUUGCAC
rnacentral:rRNA from 2 species